rnacentral:tRNA from 1 species
GGGUCACUCGUAUAAUGGUCAUUAUAGCGGACUCUUAAUCCGUCAGAUCAGGGUUCGAAUCCCUGGUGGCCCA